ensembl:lncRNA
AAGGCCUUCAAAGUAUUCAUACUGGCCGGCCAAACCUGUUUCAGGUACAAUAGUGGUGAUACUCUCAAUUAAUACCUUUAUAGAAAGAAAAAUAGUUUUUGUCUCAAGACAAAGAAGGUGUUAUAAAACCCAUUUUCAGUCUGAACUCAAUUUUGACAAAAUACGUAGUUACUGCACUUUGCCUUUGUCACAUAACAGUGUUGCGCAAUCAUGACGUUAUCGAUCAGAUUUUAAUUCGAGUAGUUCAAUUCAACUCUUAAAACAAUUUAAAGUUGAAGUGUGAGAAUAGUAUACUCCAACAUGUGCACUUGUAACAACAUUGUAACUGCUGGUAUCGCAAUAUUAGUUGAUGUUUGUGUAAACACAAACAUUAGGAAGCAACUUACAGCGCGAGGAGGGCAAUGCAAAUACAAAUUAAGGUCCAGCUCUCGGUGGAGAGAAAAGGUAAAAAUCCCAUGUUGAAGACCAACUGUGGCCAACUGUGACCAAGUGCAUUAACGUUAUCUUGUUACCCUAGCUGUCUUUUAAACUUGUAAUUUGAGGGCGGGACAUAACCAUAUAUGGAAUGUUAUGCUUUUCUUCCUUUCCUCGUGUCGAAUCCGUCAGACAAGGGGAACUUAUCUUUUUAUCAUUCGAGUGGACGUAACGUGUGACGAUAUUUUUGUAGGAUUUGGUCUUCAAAAUACUUUGAUUGUAAGUCAUAGACAUGAACAGUGACCUAGAGGAUGACGUGGACUCAACGGACACAUCCGCAAACACUCAGACUACAGCGAAUCCCUCCCAUCAGAGCCACCCAGUGAAGCUCAUGGAGCGCAGGGGGUUCACCUCUAGGGUGUGCUCAGUCUUGGUCAUGGUGAAGCAAAGAGAACUCCACAUCAAUUUAGAGGAGGUGAUCCAGCUACAAGGAUGCCAGCCACCAAUCAAAUAAUCAAUAUUUGUCAAAUGCUUUGCAUUUUGUACGUGAAUUUCUAUCAUUAACAUUUGCUGUCCUAUAGCAAUUUAUGUGCAUUUUGCUUACAUAACGCUAUGUGAGUCUUUCAGCCUCAAAGGGGGGAAUGAUGUAAAUUAUUUUAGUCUAUGCUAUUUCUGAUUACAUGUUUCAAGCUAACAACAGUUAUGAAUUGUUUCUUCACCACAUAAUGGACAACACCAUUUAAGGUUUUAGUGAUUUUGUAUAUAAGUUAAAGGUUGGGUAUGGAAUUCGCUUUUUUGGCCAUUUCUGCAAAAUUACUUGAAAUCCUUAUCAUAACCCACUUACAGCCACUGAGUUAGAAGAACUGACAUGAAAAUUAAACAAGUCAAUCAUCUGUGGAACGGGCAGGGCUCGAAAAACUCCAGCCAAUGAUUUCCAGAGCCACCGAGUUGCAUUGGACAGAUUACUCACAGAACAGUGACCUAGAGGAUGACGUGGACUCAGCAGACGCAUCCACAAAGAGUCAGACUACAGCGGAUCCCUCCCAUCGGAGUCACCCAGUGAAGCUCAUGGAGCGCAGGGGGUUCACCUCUAGGGUGUGCUCAGUCUUGGUCAUGGUGAAGCAAAGAGAACUCCACGGCAUUUUAGAGGAGGUGAUCAAGGAGUUGAUCAUAGCCGUGUCCAUCAAACCCAUCACAGGCUGCCGGCCAUCGUAGAAUCUAACAUCACAAACAACCCCCCAGUUACAUUACUUCACAGUUUCCCUGAACAGUGUAAGCAUAUUUUAUGUGAAGAAAUAUAAGUUGAUACAUAGAAUACACACAAUAGCAUUUUGUUAAUGCUGUAAAAGCCAUAGGCCUAAGCAGACACACUUACCCCUAUAUCUUGCCAUACUUCUGGAAGCAUUCCAUGACAAAGACGUGUACGCCCUAUGGCAUUAAAACAGAGAGGCAAUUAAUUAAACGCGUAUUAAUGGUGGCAUAACUGGUUUAGUGUUUUUAUUUAUAAGGUAUGAUUUGUCAUUUCUG